rnacentral:rRNA from 1 species
UAGGGAAUCUUCGGCAAUGGGGGGAACCCUGACCGAGCAACGCCGCGUGAGUGAAGAAGGUUUUCGGAUCGUAAAGCUCUGUUGUUAAGGAAGAACGAGUGUGAGAAUGGAAAGUUCAUGCUGUGACGGUACUUAACCAGAAAGGGACGGCUAACUACGUGCCAGCAGCCGCGGUAAUACGUAGGUCCCGAGCGUUGUCCGGAUUUAUUGGGCAUAAAGCGAGCGCAGGCGGUUAGAAAAGUCUGAAGUGAAAGGCAGUGGCUCAACCAUUGUAGGCUUUGGAAACUGUUUAACUUGAGUGCAGAAGGGGAGAGUGGAAUUCCAUGUGUAGCGGUGAAAUGCGUAGAUAUAUGGAGGAACACCGGUGGCGAAAGCGGCGCUCGGGUCUGUAACUGACGCGGAGGCUGGAAAGCGUGGGGAGCGAACAGG